rnacentral:lncRNA from 1 species
GUCAGAUCUCUUAGAAACACAAAGAGUUAUAAGAACAACUUUUCUUAUUAGCUUUAGAAACUACUCAAAACUAAAGCUCUCAAUAUGUUUCACUUAGAUCAUAUAGAACACCUCUCCAUUAGACCUAUAUUUAUAUGAAAGACAAUUCCCUUUAACAUGUGGGAUAUGGAAAACACAAACCUAACCUAAAUAGAAACUUCCUUUUCCUAUUUCUAGGUUUCCUUAUUGUGUUUAUCUUAACAUAUUAAACAUCUAAUAAUAUGUUAAGUUUCCACAAGCUUGGAAUUAUCCAACAUUCACCCCCUUAAUUCCAACUUGAAUUAGGGAGAUCAAUUUCUUGAACUCCGAUUAAGCUCCUCAUUUGCUUGAACUUAAUCAUCAAGUAAUCAUCCUCCACCACACCAUGGUGUGCGAAUCCACCCAUUGAAUUCACAUCUUUCUCAAGGUUAGACCGGAUGCUCUCCUUGCUUCCGUACCGCUUCUUCUUAGAAUCGGCCCAGUUCUUGUAUAACCUUCUCAUGACCUCUUCACUUAAGUUGCGAUGAGUCUUGUGGCUGAAGCUCACUGCGAUGAUAACUCUGGUCACAUCCGCCAUCUUGCGUACAUGAGCUCUGGGAAGGAUGUCGGCCUUCUGCUCAACACCCAACUGAUUUAUCUCUGGUUCAUCUUCAUCCUUUGAGAACCUUGACUCCAUUGGUACAUGCGUUGUGUCACACGCUUCCACCUUUGUGUCACACACUCCUCCGUGAGUCGUGUUGCACACUCCUACGUGAGUCGUGUUACACACUUCCAUCUUUGUGUCACACAGGAUUCCUUGAGCAUACCUCUCUUGCUUUAUUCUGAUUCCGUCUGCUCCUUGAAUCACCUCUAUGCCAAGGUAGUACGUUAGCUUACCUAGAUCUGACAUCUCGAACUUCUUAGACAUCUCCUCCUUGAAUUGCCUAAUCACCUUAAGCGAAGUUCCUGUCACAAAUAGAUCAUCAACGUAGAUGGCUAUGAUCAAGACGUCUCCUCCUUGAGUCUUGCAGUACACUGAUGGUUCCUUCGUGCACUUCUCAAAUCUCAUCUCCUUGAGAACCUGAUCGAGUUUUACACUCCAUGCUCUGGGUGCCUGGCGUAACACAUGCAACGUCUUGUGUAACACACAAACUCGAUCAUCUUCUCCUUUCUUCUCAGAACCAGUCGGUCUAUCUUCAAGCUCCCAUAUCUUGUUUCUUGUGAUAGACUCCAACUCGUCUUCCAUAGCUUCAACCCAAUCUUCUUCACAAGAUAGGUUGAACUCAUCUGAGGCAAUCUCUCCUCCUCUAUCGGUGCAUCCUAGAUUGAGCACAUCUGAGGCAACCUCUCCUCCUCUAUCGGUGCAACCUAGAUUGAACAUAGCUGAGGCAACCUCUCCUCCUCUAUCGGUGUGAGAUCUUUUGAACCGAUAGAAUGCCUCACGAUUAUCUGCUGGUGUUGGUGGUGUGAUACAUCCACACAAAUUUCCAAGCAAUAAUCUCACUGGCUUUGAUGUACAAAUCAUGGCCUUAGUCAGGAAUGUGUCUCUGGCUUGCUUCCCUGCGAGACAUGUGUCACACACGCCUUCUUUGUGUGUUACACUCGGGAAUGAGUGUCUCGUUUGCUUCUCUGCGAGACAUGUGUCACACACGCCUUCUUCGUGUGUUACACUCUGCAUUCCUACGACCAUCUCCUUCCUUACCAUGUUGUUCAUCACUCCAUAGCAUAUAUGUCCUUGUCGAGCAUGCCACCUCCAUGUAGCAUCUUCGUCCCUGACAUGUAAACAUUCCGGGUAGCUUAUCUCCAUAGGGGUCUUGUAGAGACGGUUUGGAGAUCUUGUCACACGAACUAGCAACCUUCCAUGCGAAUCUGUGAGCGUUAAGUAGACAUCUUUCAUGUUAACCUCACAUCCGUUCUCUGUUGCUUGCCCAAGACUUAAUAUAUUGUGCUUCAGAUCAGGUAUGUAGUAUAUGUCCUUGAGUGCCUUCUUCUCUCCAGUCUUGCACACAAAUGUAACCACACCCUUUCCUACAAUGUCAACACACGAUCCAUCACCAAACUUCACCUUCCCUUUGGUGUUGAGAUUCAAACUCGAAAAGAACUCCUUGUUCCCUGUCAUGUGAUUGCUCGCUCCAUUAUCCAAAUACCAGACACUUGCAUCGCCUUUGUUGAUAUCAAGAUUCUUCGGAAUCACCUUAUCUUCAUUCAAAAACACCACCUCGUGUACAUAGAGUGCAUCAGCCUCUUCUGUCUCGUUUAAGUUAGUUUCUUGAUUCUUCUCUGUCUUUUCGGGACAGACAGUUGCGUAGUGACCAGGCUUGUCACAUCUCCAACAUAUCAGCUUUGAACGAUUCUUCUUCGAGUUGUUAUCUUCGGUGUGUGACGCACGGUUUUGGUUGUGUGACCUACCUCGACCUCUGCCUCUACCGUUCCGUCCUCUUCCUCUACCACGGGAAUUCUCAUAGCCCCUCUGACUAUGCUCUUCAUUGUUCGAAAACAUCAGCUUCCCUUGGUCUUCUUUCUGAGUUUCUUCUCCUACACGCUCCUCGUACGCCUUAAGCCUUCCUACUAUGUCUUCAAACCCCGUCGAGUUGAGAUCUAGGACUUGCUCAAGUGAUGCUACGAUCUGGAUAUACUUGUGUCUUGGAAGACCCUUCAAGAACUUCUUGACCAUCUUGGAUUCUUCUAUGUUUUCUCCCAAUGAGGUUGCUUUGGAUGAUAGGCCCGAUAUCUUCCCCGCGAAGUCAUCGACCGUAUCUGCAUCAUCCAUCUUCAACCUAUCAAACUCUGUCAUCAACGUCUGAAGUCUCGCCUCCCUUACACGAUCAGCUCCUAGGUGUCGUGACUUGAUGGCGUUCCAGAUCUCUUUUGAUGCGGUUUGUUCUCCCACCUGGAGAAUCAAUGUUUCGGGAACAGAUUGAAACAAAAGAGCUAUUGCAACAUCGUUCUUCUUUUGAUCAUCUGAACCGGGUUCGAUUGUGUCCCACACUUCAUGAACACGUAGUAGAACCUUCAUCCUCAUCGACCAAACUGUGUAGUUUGUCGAUGACAACAUCGGACAUUGGAUGGAUGUAGAUCCAAAGUCCUUCGUGCGUGGAGCCCUAGUCACGUCAGCCAUCUUGCCGUCGCGAUAUCUUGUUCACAAGCACCAGGAUCUUAAGCUACAACUUAAGCUUAGAUCGAGUCUCCAACCUGAGGCUCUGAUACCAAUUCAGAUCUCUUAGAAACACAAAGAGUUAUAAGAACAACUUUUCUUAUUAGCUUUAGAAACUACUCAAAACUAAAGCUCUCAAUAUGUUUCACUUAGAUCAUGUAGAACACCUCUCCAUUAGACCUAUAUUUAUAUGAAAGACAAUUCCCUUUAACAUGUGGGAUAUGGAAAACACAAACCUAACCUAAAUAGAAACUUCCUUUUCCUAUUUCUAGGUUUCCUUAUUGUGUUUAUCUUAACAUAUUAAACAUCUAAUAAUAUGUUAAGUUUCCACAAGCUUGGAAUUAUCCAACACAUAGCUCUUCUUCUUGGAGCUCUCGGGUCGGGUGGGAUCCGACCAUGUGUUGUUGCUUUCGGUGCGGAUCAGUUCGACGAGUCGGAUCCUAAGCAAACCACCAAAACCUGGAACUACUUCAACGGGUACUUAUUAAAUACUUUUCUUGAUAUAUUAUACAUAAAAAUAAAAUUAUUAGAUUCCUUUCGUAGAUUCCUAGCUAAGAUGACUUUGUAAUACUACUAUGAUGUAAAAAAAGGAUGAGCAUGGAUCCUAAGCAAACCACUAAAACAAAUCUCUUAAUUAUAGGUCUCUAAGUAAAAAAUAAGUAAUCAUAUAGAUGUCCAAAAGUCGUAUUUUUGAGUUAUGAGCAUGUGUUUAAUGGAUAUAGUAGUUUCUUUCUAGUUAACUAUGUAGAUAUUAUAAGUUAUAAACCGAAAUAAUUAUAAUUUUCUCG